rnacentral:rRNA from 1 species
UACGUAGGGUGCAAGCGUUUGUCCGGAAUUAUUGGGCGUAAAGAGCUCGUAGGCGGUUUGUCGCGUCGGCUGUGAAAACCUGGGGCUCAACCCCGGGCCUGCAGCCGAUACGGGCAAACUAGAAUUCGGUAGGGGAGACUGGAAUUCCUGGUGUAGCGGUGAAAUGCGCAGAUAUCAGGAGGAACACCGGUGGCGAAGGCGGGGUCUCUGGGCCGAUAUUGACGCUGAGGAGCGAAAGCGUGGGGGAGCGAACAGG